rnacentral:misc_RNA from 1 species
CAACCCCUAAGCACAGCUUAUUGUUGGGAACCUACGGCUUCGUAGUUCCUCAAAGACAUUGGCGGAGUGGCAGUGGUCCUCUGAGCGUAGUAAUCUUUUAUCUCGCUUCUGUUAGGUGCUCGCCCCCCCGGACCGUAAAACCCCCAAUUUUUUCUGG